rnacentral:rRNA from 1 species
AUUGAACGCUGGCGGCAUGCCUUACACAUGCAAGUCGAACGGCAGCACGGGAGCAAUCCUGGUGGCGAGUGGCGAACGGGUGAGUAAUACAUCGGAACGUGCCCAGUAGUGGGGGAUAGCCCGGCGAAAGCCGGAUUAAUACCGCAUACGACCUAUGGGUGAAAGCGGGGGAUCGCAAGACCUCGCGCUAUUGGAGCGGCCGAUGUCAGAUUAGGUUGNGGUGGGGUAAAGGCCUACCAAGCCGACGAUCUGUAGCUGGUCUGAGAGGACGACCAGCCACACUGGGACUGAGACACGGCCCAGACUCCUACGGGAGGCAGCAGUGGGGAAUUUUGGACAAUGGGGGCAACCCUGAUCCAGCCAUGCCGCGUGCGGGAAGAAGGCCU